UACGAAGGGUGCAAACGUUGCUCGGAAUCAUUGGGCGUAAAGCGCACGUAGGCGGCGCAGUAAGUCGGACGUGAAAUCCCUCGGCUCAACCGAGGACGUGCAUCCGAAACUACUGUGCUCGAGUAUGGAAGAGGGUCGCGGAAUUCUCGGUGUAGAGGUGAAAUUCGUAGAUAUCGGGAGGAACACCAGUGGCGAAGGCGGCGACCUGGGCCAAUACUGACGCUGAGGAGCGAAAGCCAGGGGAGCAAACGGG
rnacentral:rRNA from 1 species